rnacentral:rRNA from 1 species
GGCGGGCUGGAAACUCUCGGGGUUACAGCCUUGCUGAAUUAUUCACCCUUGUCUUUUGCGUACUUCUUGUUUCCUUGGUGGGUUCGCCCACCACUAGGACAAACAUAAACCUUUUGUAAUUGCAAUCAGCGUCAGUAACAAAUUAAUAGUUACAACUUUCAACAACGGAUCUCUUGGUUCUGGCAUCGAUGAAGAACGCAGCGAAAUGCGAUAAGUAGUGUGAAUUGCAGAAUUCAGUGAAUCAUCGAAUCUUUGAACGCACAUUGCGCCCUUUGGUAUUCCAAAGGGCAUGCCUGUUCGAGCGUCAUUUGUACCCUCAAGCUUUGCUUGGUGUUGGGCGUCUUGUCUCUAGCUUUGCUGGAGACUCGCCUUAAAGUAAUUGGCAGCCGGCCUACUGGUUUCGGAGCGCAGCACAAGUCGCACUCUCUAUCAGCAAAGGUCUAGCAUCCAUUAAGCCUUUUUUCAACUUUUGACCUCGGAUCAGGUAGGGAUACCCGCUGAACUUAAGCAUACAA